UUUGUGCGACUCCGCUUGGACUUCAUUGAAUUUCAAAUCCAGCUUUGAGUCUAGCUUCACGUCCGUGGAAGGGUCUCCGACGGCAGCGAAGCGAGACGAAAUCGUCUCGGAGCUCAGAUGAUCGAGAUCUGAUUUGGGAUUGCGAGUCCUUCUCUGUCAUUCCUCGAUCUCUUAGACUGUGGGCAUUGUGGUCGUUCGGGUGGGUAAAUCCGGGUGCUCUGGCCGUCUGCUUCUGGUAACUCGUGAGCAGUUUUGAGGUAAAAAUUCAAUCUGUGGGGAUGGAAACUGUGGUUGUAGUUGGAUCGCAUCGGAGUAAAUAUUACAGCAGAGGCAAGUCACAGCCGUCGAGAGAUUUUGGAGGGUUUAGCUGCCGCACCUUCGAGUCUGCUACUCGAGUUCUGCCAUCGCGCUCCUCUCGAUUGUGCUAUUGCUAUGGCCUUAGUGAGCUGAAAUCUCCCAGCUUUUACUCAGACCAACAGCAAAAACAAAGAAGGAAGAGGAAAACCAUUUCGCAGAACAACCCGCCUUCUCCUAAAGGAGACGCCUUCACAGAAAAGACAUCUUGUUCUGAACGGUGGGCAGGUCCUACCUACUCAAACUCACCUCCUCCCAGUUCUUUGCCCAUCCCUACAUUUUCCCUUCGCCAGAAGCGUAGUGUUUCUCUAGAACUUCAAAUUCCGAUAUCUGAUGUUAUACUUCACUCUCUCUCAAAAUCUGCACCAACUUCCCCUACUAGAGAAUCCCCUUCAUCUGCCAGCAACUUCCAAUUCAACACUACCAUUGCUACGGAGAACUUGAGACGGAUUCUCCAGUUGGAUAUUGCAGAUGAUUGAGGGAGCCCCUCUUUAAGUUCGUUAGAGUACUUAUGUAUGUAGUUUGUCAUAAGUAUGUGUAUCCUUUCUUGAGUUUUCUAGCAUUAGAUUAAGCAAGUGUUACUAGAAGCAAUCAGGUAGAAGUAAUGUCCUAUAUUGUUUGUUGGGGUCAUUAGAGCUUGUGAUGGGAUUUGAUGAAGUUGAUUAAGUGGCAGUAGUUUAGUGGUUGUUUAUAAGUAGAAUCCAUUGUAGGAUAAACCGUUGAAACAUGUGUUGAGCUUAGUCAAGUAUAUGACUUUUAUUCCGCUGUUCCAAGGUAGAGCAAGAUCUAUGGGGACUAGUCCUUUGUAAGUUAUCUAUUCUGUAUAUCCUUGUCCACAUGGUAAGGGGGGGAAACAUGAAAUAAUUAGGAACUGCAUUCUUAUCCCUCGGAAUAUGCAAUUCAGAAGCAUGCCCCUCAUUUUCUCCUUGCUUUGUAUGCAUGUUUGUGAUAAUUCCUCCUUUUUUCUUAGCUUUCAUUCCUCAAACUCGUUUUAAUCUUCAGAAGUUAGUAAGAUCUAACCUUGUCCCUUCUUCCAGAUUUUUGGUAGGAAGAAGUGAGGUGUAGUGGACUUCAUAUAUCUCUCUUUUUGCUUGUCUAUCUUCAUGCAUAUUAGCCGUAGUUGAUUUUAUCUUUCGUUCUCUCUAGUUCUACUUCACAUUUGGUCUCAUCUUCAGUUCCUACUCUAGGAAGCCACGUUUCCCACUGUCACUAAAUGAUUAAGAUGUGGCAUUAAGGGCUGCUUCUGUUGGUGAUCGGCACAGAAGCCUAGUAAUUGGUGAUACAGCAUGUGAAAAAUGUGUGUUAAUGGUGUUUGCUCUUGGUGAUAGUAAGUCAAUAUAUUUAGCUGUUGAUGAUGCUUCUGAGCUUGUAUAACUCUUGGAAGCACUGGGGUUUUAAACAAAUCCUUGUAUCAUGAACUUAGAAUUUGACGCUAUCGCUUCUUAUAUUUCCAUGUCUUAGUGAUAUACUUUGAAUAUCGCUAACAAUGUAAUAUUAGCAUUAGUGACUCGAUGAAAUGAAACUCAUGUAUCCAACUUUUGAUGCUUU